rnacentral:rRNA from 1 species
CGUGGAUAACCUGCCUCACACAGGGGGAUAACAAGGUUUUAAGAAAUGACUGCUAAUACCGCAUAAGCGCACAGUCUCGCAUGGGACAGUGUGAAAACUGAGGUGGUGUGAGAUGGAUCCGCGUCUGAUUAGGCAGUUGGCGGGGUAACGGCCCACCAAACCGACGAUCAGUAGCCGGCCUGAGAGGGUGAACGGCCACAUUGGGACUGAGACACGGCCCAAACUCCUACGGAAGGCAGCAG